GAAGCUGGGAAACAGAAACAAGAGUCUAAGCAGUAAGGAAUCAGGAUCAUGUACAGACAAAGAAGGUUAUAAUAAUCAUAUAAUAAUCACUGGAUUAUCCCCCGACCUGACUGCAAAGAGUGUUUUGGUGAGCGAUAAACUUGGUUGUAUGAGUUAACAAGGUCACUAACAAGAUCCCAAUUGGGUGUGUGCACUGGUGACAUAAUGGCAAGAUUUGAAGGAUGCUCCAGUAACUGCUUCACUGCCUGGAAAAGAAGAAGCAGGAUGAUCUUCUGUUCGCUACCCUUUCGAUGCAUUUUCAACAUUCUUGGAGUCGCUCGGUGAAAAAGUGACUGAGGAAUAGCCACUUCUCCCUGCCGAUGUUUAUUCCUCCUACCUGCAGCUAUCAGUGGAAAGAGAGGAUCUUUUCAGUGAAAGGAUGGAUGGAACUUGGUUAAAGCAAAAAAUCCAUAACAAAAAAAUGACUAUAUCAGUCAUCUGACUCUACUAGAGAACUGUUCACAAUACUGUGUCUUGCAUGUAAAAAGGUGUCUACCUUCAUUUUAUUGUCAGCUCUGUAUAAAUGUAAUAAGACCAGUGAUUUCGAACUUAACUCUUCCAUCAUAAUAGCUUUGACUUCCUUUAAAUAUUACUAAACCACUGCUACUAUAGUUUUUCUUUUCGUUUUUACUGUAGCUUAGAUAAUGUACUGAAUGUGAUUCUCAAGAUAGGAAAUAAGCCUAAUUGGGGGUGGAGGCAAGAGGAGAAUAACACAGGUUUCACUGCUCAGUCCCUGUUAAUUUAAUUCAUUCAUUUCUAUUUCUAGUUCAGAGAAUAAAGGUUAAGACUUUUGGCACUCAAUUUUCAAAAGGCACUCCACCCUGUCUCUAAGUCAGCACUCAAAAUCCUUCACAUCAAUAAAAAAAAUCUAAUUUGCUUAGAGAAAUGGUAUACAAAACACCCUAAUCUUUAGGUGUGAACAUAUAAAUGUGUUUUAAAAUUUGGCCACUUGAGUUUGUGAAAUUUUCCAUUUUAUUUACAAAGAAAUAAAUAAGGAAA